rnacentral:rRNA from 1 species
CGUGCUUAACACAUGCAAGUCGAACGAUGAUCCCAGCUUGCUGGGGGAUUAGUGGCGAACGGGUGAGUAACACGUGAGUAACCUGCCCUUGACUCUGGGAUAAGCCUGGGAAACUGGGUCUAAUACCGGAUACGACCAUCUGGCGCAUGUCAUGGUGGUGGAAAGCUUUUGUGGUUUUGGAUGGACUCGCGGCCUAUCAGCUUGUUGGUGGGGUAAUGGCCUACCAAGGCGACGACGGGUAGCCGGCCUGAGAGGGUGACCGGCCACACUGGGACUGAGACACGGCCCAGACUCCUACGGGAGGCAGCAGUGGGGAAUAUUGCACAAUGGGCGCAAGCCUGAUGCAGCGACGCCGCGUGAGGGAUGACGGCCUUCGGGUUGUAAACCUCUUUCAGUAGGGAAGAAGCGAAAGUGACGGUACCUGCAGAAGAAGCGCCGGCUAACUACGUGCCAGCAGCCGCGGUAAUACGUAGGGCGCAAGCGUUAUCCGGAAUUAUUGGGCGUAAAGAGCUCGUAGGCGGUUUGUCGCGUCUGCUGUGAAAGACCGGGGCUCAACUCCGGUUCUGCAGUGGGUACGGGCAGACUAGAGUGCAGUAGGGGAGACUGGAAUUCCUGGUGUAGCGGUGAAAUGCGCAGAUAUCAGGAGGAACACCGAUGGCGAAGGCAGGUCUCUGGGCUGUAACUGACGCUGAGGAGCGAAAGCAUGGGGAGCGAACAGGAUUAGAUACCCUGGUAGUCCAUGCCGUAAACGUUGGGCACUAGGUGUG